rnacentral:rRNA from 1 species
GAUGAACGCUAGCUACAGGCUUAACACAUGCAAGUCGAGGGGAAACGAUAGAGAAAGCUUGCUUUUUCUAGGCGUCGACCGGCGCACGGGUGAGUAACGCGUAUCCAACCUGCCCAUCACUUGGGGAUAACCUUGCGAAAGUAAGACUAAUACCCAAUGACGUCUCUGGAAGACAUCUGAAAGGGAUUAAAGAUUUAUCGGUGAUGGAUGGGGAUGCGUGUGAUUAGCUUGUUGGCGGGGUAACGGCCCACCAAGGCGACGAUCAGUAGGGGUUCUGAGAGGAAGGUCCCCCACAUUGGAACUGAGACACGGUCCAAACUCCUACGGGAGGCAGCAGUGAGGAAUAUUGGUCAAUGGACGAGAGUCUGAACCAGCCAAGUAGCGUGCAGGAUGACGGCCCUAUGGGUUGUAAACUGCUUUUAUAAGGGAAUAAAGUGAGAGUCGUGACUCUUUUUGCAUGUACCUUAUGAAUAAGGAUCGGCUAACUCCGUGCCAGCCGCCGCAGUAA